CGGACUCAGCCCGCCUGCACCCAGGUGAAAUAAACAGCCUUGUUGCUCACACAAAGCCUGUUUGGUGGUCUCUUCACACAAACGCGCAUGAAAUUUGGUGCCAUGACUCGGAUCGGGGUACCUCCCUUGGGAGAUCAAUCCCCAGUCCUCCUGCUCUUUGCUCCGUGAGAAAGAUCUACCUAGGACCUCAGGUCCUCAGACUGACCAGCCCAAGGAACAUCUCACCAAUUUCAAAUCUGGAACGCGCAUGAAAAAACCAAACAAACAAAAAAAUUUCUUUUGGUAGCAGAAUAAAAAAACAAAAAAAAGGACUUUUUCUUCUGGACUGAACUAUAUUUAAAUCUCAAAGGAUGGACAUCUCACAACCUUCCUACAGCAAGUACUGUGAGAGCUGCAUCUUGUCCCACUGGAUGGUCUUCAGAGACAAUAAUACAUAAUGGAGCUGUCAUCUCCUAUGAUAACAAUGCCUUCUUCUGGAUACCUCCUGAAGGACCUGCCUGAGGCUCUUUCACUGUUAGUUUUUUUUUAAUAAGUAGAAGGAUUACACUCUAAAAUAAUAAGUGUAGUAUAGUAAAUGUAUAAACCAGUAACAUAAUGGUUUAUUAUCAUUAUCAAGUAUUACAUACUGUACAAAAUUAUAUGUGCUACAAUUUUAUGUGACUGGCAGCACAGUAGGUUUGUUUAUACCAGCAUCACCACAAACACGUGAGUAAUAUGACACACCAUGAUAUUCUGACAACCAUGACAUCACUAGGCCAGGGAAUUUUUUAGGUCCAUUAUCAUCAUAGGCGACCACAGUUGUAUAUGUGAUGUGGUCUGUCAUUGACUAAAAUCUCAUUAUGACUGUAC
rnacentral:lncRNA from 1 species